UACAGAGGUCUCAAGCGUUGUUCGGAUUCAUUGGGCGUAAAGGGUGCGUAGGUGGCGCGGUAAGUCGGGUGUGAAAUCUCGGAGCUUAACUCCGAAAUUGCAUUCGAUACUGCCGUGCUCGAGGACUGGAGAGGAGACUGGAAUUCAUGGUGUAGCAGUGAAAUGCGUAGAGAUCAUGAGGAAGACCAGUGGCGAAGGCGGAUCUCUGGGCCGUAACUGACGCUGAGGAGCGAAAGCAUGGGGAGCGAACAGG
rnacentral:rRNA from 1 species